rfam:Bacillus coagulans 36D1, complete genome.
CUCUUAUCCCGAGCUGGUGGAGGGACGGGCCCGAUGAAACCCAGCAACCCGCCUCUGGAACAGGCAAUGCGCUCGCAACGCAGCUGCCGCUUGACUUCCAGGCAAAGGUGCUAACCUGCAGCAAGGAUUGUUUCCUUGAACGAUAAGAG